rnacentral:rRNA from 1 species
AUGAACGCUGGCGGCGUGCCUAAUACAUGCAAGUCGAGCGAACAGACGAGGAGCUUGCUCCUCUGACGUUAGCGGCGGACGGGUGAGUAACACGUGGAUAACCUACCUAUAAGACUGGGAUAACUUCGGGAAACCGGAGCUAAUACCGGAUAAUAUAUUGAACCGCAUGGUUCAAUAGUGAAAGACGGUUUUGCUGUCACUUAUAGAUGGAUCCGCGCCGCAUUAGCUAGUUGGUAAGGUAACGGCUUACCAAGGCAACGAUGCGUAGCCGACCUGAGAGGGUGAUCGGCCACACUGGAACUGAGACACGGACCAGACUCCUACGGGAGGCAGCAGUAGGGAAUCUUCCGCAAUGGGCGAAAGCCUGACGGAGCAACGCCGCGUGAGUGAUGAAGGUCUUCGGAUCGUAAAACUCUGUUAUUAGGGAAGAACAAAUGUGUAAGUAACUAUGCACGUAUUGACGGUACCUAAUCAGAAAGCCACGGCUAACUACGUG